UUUAAGCAAACUAAAUAGGAAAGAAAGCGUUUUUUUUGUCAAGUCACGAGUGUUCGCCCGAGCUCCGUUCGGGCUUUGGUAACCCCGUCGUUUCAUCUGUCACCGAUGGCUCGCCACGUCGAGAGCCGUUCUUUUUGGAUUCGGAAGAGAUCGUAGCAAGGCGUGGUUGUUUCCUUUUCCCAACGGCCUGGUGCCGUCUGAUGGCUUCUACCUAUAUCGCGGUUUAAGCCGCCUAAUCCUCGUUGGAUGUGAAUCGUCCUGUGCAGUUGAAGCCCCGGGUGCAUUGAAAUUAUGCAAGUCCUUUCCUACACCCGCUUAUUGUCUGCCCCGGGUAAGCAGCGACCUACACGCAGUCCAGUAUAUUUAUUCGAUUCUGUGAUUGACUGUUCUGUUACUUAGUAGUUUUAUAAAUUUCAGGGUUUCAAGAUUUACCGUCUUUAUUACAAGUGUAGAGUGUGGCCUCAAGAUGCCAGCUUCUGCAAGCCGAGCUACCAGUGGCAGGGAGCUGUGUUUGGCGUUUCCCUACUUCCACGUCGAGGUUCCUGGUCAACGUGGCGGUUGUAUUGUUUACGGUCUCUCGAAGUUUUGGAGGUUAGAUCGACCCUUUAUUUAAUAUUAAUUACUGAACCAGAGAUGCUGGUUCUGGCGCCCUCAUACCCCUUACUACCGCUUAAAUUUGUCUGUCAGUAGGCCGCUUCUACCAAAACAUUUUUAAAUAAGAGUUCGCUAUACCCAUAACUGUUCCCUCAACACUUAAAUAAGAGUCUGGUGCUCGUGUUAUUUAGAUAAGAGCUAGUUUACCUUAAGUUCCUGUUGUUAAGGCCCUUAAGGCUCUCCGGGUUAAUUUCAAAAUAAUUUGAAUAAAUGUUUUAACCAUA